UGGCGGCAUGCUUUACACAUGCAAGUCGAACGGUAACAGGGAGCUUGCUCCGCUGACGAGUGGCGAACGGGUGAGUAAUAUAUCGGAACGUGCCCAAGAGUGGGGGAUAACGUAGCGAAAGUUACGCUAAUACCGCAUACGAUCUAUGGAUGAAAGCAGGGGACCUUCGGGCCUUGUGCUCCUGGAGCGGCCGAUAUCUGAUUAGCUAGUUGGUGAGGUAAAGGCUCACCAAGGCGACGAUCAGUAGCUGGUCUGAGAGGACGACCAGCCACACUGGAACUGAGACACGGUCCAGACUCCUACGGGAGGCAGCAGUGGGGAAUUUUGGACAAUGGGGGCAACCCUGAUCCAGCAAUGCCGCGUGAGUGAAGAAGGCCUUCGGGUUGUAAAGCUCUUUUGUCAGGGAAGAAAAGGGUACGGCUAAUAUCCGUGCCUCAUGACGGUACCUGAAGAAUAAGCACCGGCUAACUACGUGCCAGCAGCCGCGGUAAUACGUAGGGUGCAAGCGUUAAUCGGAAUUACUGGGCGUAAAGCGUGCGCAGGCGGUUUUGUAAGUCUGUUGUGAAAUCCCCGGGCUUAACCUGGGAAUGGCAAUGGAGACUGCAAGGCUAGAGUUUGGCAGAGGGGGGUAGAAUUCCACGUGUAGCAGUGAAAUGCGUAGAGAUGUGGAGGAACACCGAUGGCGAAGGCAGCCCCCUGGGUCAAGACUGACGCUCAUGCACGAAAGCGUGGGGAGCAAACAGGAUUAGAUACCCUGGUAGUCCACGCCCUAAACGAUGUCUACUAGUUGUUGGGUCUUAAUUGACUUAGUAACGCAGCUAACGCGUGAAGUAGACCGCCUGGGGAGUACGGUCGCAAGAUUAAAACUCAAAGGAAUUGACGGGGACCCGCACAAGCGGUGGAUGAUGUGGAUUAAUUCGAUGCAACGCGAAAAACCUUACCUACCCU
rnacentral:rRNA from 1 species